rnacentral:rRNA from 1 species
CCUACGGGAGGCAGCAGUGGGGAAUAUUGGACAAUGGGCGCAAGCCUGAUCCAGCCAUGCCGCGUGUGUGAAGAAGGCCCUCGGGUUGUAAAGCACUUUCAGUGGGGAAGAAAGCCUGGUGGUUAAUACCCGUCAGGAAGGACAUCACCCACAGAAGAAGCACCGGCUAACUCCGUGCCAGCAGCCGCGGUAAU